AUGACUUUGAUCUGCGUCCUCAUCUGGACUCUCCUCUGCUGCUGCUUCACAGAGUCCAGAGGACAGAUCACAGUGACUCAGCCUGGAGCCGUGAGCUCUGCUGUGGGAGGAUCUGUGAACAUCAAGUGUAGGACCAGUCAGAACAUUCAUAGCAACCAUUUAUCCUGGUACCAACAGAAAGAUGGAAAACCUCCGAAACAGCUCAUUUACUACACUAGCACCCGAUUAUCAGGGAUUCCAGCUCAUUUUACAGGCAGUGGAUCAAACUCUGACUUCACUCUGACCAUCAGUGGAGUCCAGGCUGAAGAUGCAGCAGUUUAUUACUGCAAGAGUGUUCAUGUUAUCAACAGUCAGCUUCUGUUCACACAGUGA